rnacentral:rRNA from 1 species
UACGAAGGGUGCAAGCGUUACUCGGAAUUACUGGGCGUAAAGCGUGCGUAGGCGGUUUGUUAAGUCCGCUGUGAAAGCCCUGGGCUCAACCUGGGAAUUGCAGUGGAUACUGGCAAGCUAGAGUGCGGUAGAGGAUGGUGGAAUUCCCGGUGUAGCGGUGAAAUGCGUAGAGAUCGGCAGGAACACCCAGGGGGAAACCAGCCGACUGGGCAAGUGCUGACGCUGAGGUGCGAGAGCGUGGGGAGCGAACCGG